AUUGAACGCUGGCGGGAGGCUUAACACAUGCAAGUCGAGCGAGUGGCGGACGGGUGAGUAAUGUCUGGGAACGUGCCCAAUGGAGGGGGAUAACUACUGGAAACGGUAGCUAAUACCGCAUACCAUCUGAUGUGCCCAUAUGGUAUUAGCUAGUUGGUGGGGUAAUGGCUCACCAAGGCAACGAUCCCUAGCUGGUUGGAGAGGAUGACCAGCCACACUGGAACUGAGACACGGCCCAGACGCCUACGGGAGGCAGCAGUGGGGAAUUUUGCACAAUGGGCGCAACCCUGAUGCAGCCAUGCCGCGUGUAUGAAGAAGGCCUUCGGGUUGUAAAGUACUUUCGGCGGAGAGGCGUUAUCCGCAGAAGAAGCACCGGCUAACUCCGUGCCAGCAGCCGCGGUAAUAC
rnacentral:rRNA from 1 species